rnacentral:rRNA from 1 species
GCUGGCGGCGUGCUUAACACAUGCAAGUCGUACGAGAACACCCUAGCUUGCUAGGGUAAGUAAAGUGGCGCACGGGUGAGUAACGCGUGGGUAAUCUACCUUCGAAUUGGGGAUAACGUUGCGAAAGCGACGCUAAUACCGAAUAACAUCCAUUAAUCUUCGGGUUUUUGGAUCAAGGGUGGCCUCUACAUGUAAGCUACUGUUUGAAGAUGAGCCCGCGUACCAUUAGCUUGUUGGUGGGGUAAAGGCCUACCAAGGCUUCGAUGGUUAGCUGGUCUGAGAGGAUGAUCAGCCACACUGGAACUGACACACGGUCCAGACUCCUACGGGAGGCAGCAGUGAGGAAUUUUGCGCAAUGGGGGAAACCCUGACGCAGCAACGCCGCGUGAGUGAUGAAGGCUUUCGGGUCGUAAAGCUCUGUCAAGUGGGAAGAACCUGCAGUAUGCUAAUAUCAUACUGCACUGACGGCACCACUGAAGGAAGCACCGGCUAACUCCGUGCCAGCAGCCGCGGUAAUACGGGGGGUGCAAGCGUUAUUCGGAAUCAUUGGGCGUAAAGAGCACGUAGGCGGCUUGGUAAGUCAGAUGUGAAAGCCCGGGGCUUAACC